rnacentral:rRNA from 1 species
GCCUUUACUGACGCUAAAGCUCGAAGGUGCGGGUAUCGAACAGGAUUAGAUACCCUGGUAGUCCGCACGGUAAACGAUGGAUGCCCGCUGUUUGCGAUAUACUGUGAGCGGCCAAGAGAAAUCGUUAAGCAUCCCACCUGGGGAGUACGCCGGCAACGGUGAAACUCAAAGGAAUUGACGGGGGCCCGCACAAGCGGAGGAACAUGUGGUUUAAUUCGAUGAUACGCGAGGAACCUUACCCGGGCUUGAACUGCAGCGGAAGGAUAGAGAGAUCUUGACGCCCUUCGGGGCCGCUGUGGAGGUGCUGCAUGGUUGUCGUCAGCUCGUGCCGUGAGGUGUCGGCUUAAGUGCCAUAACGAGCGCAACCCUUUUCAUUAGUUGCCAUCAGGUGAUGCUGGGCACUCUGAUGAUACUGCCACCGUAAGGUGUGAGGAAGGUGGGGAUGACGUCAAAUCAGCACGGCCCUUACGUCCGGGGCUACACACGUGUUACAAUGGGUGGUACAGAGAGUCGGUCGUCUGCAAAUGCGAUCCAAUCCUUAAAGCCAUCCUCAGUUCGGAUUGGGGUCUGCAACCCGACCCCAUGAAGCUGGAUUCGCUAG